UCAGACAUGGUGUAACGGUAACACAUCUCCCUUGAAUCCAUGUACAUCUCCCAGGGUUUUGGAGAGGUCCCAGGUUCGAUCCCUGGUGUCUGAA